AACGUAGGACGCGAGCGUUAUCCGGAGUUACUGGGCGUAAAGCGCGGGCAGGCGGUUCGUUAAGUGCGUCGUGAAAGCCCCGGGCUCAACCUGGGAAUGGCGAUGGAAACUGGCGGGCUGGAGUAUGGCAGAGGGGGGUGGAAUUCCGCGUGUAGCAGUGAAAUGCGUAGAGAUGCGGAGGAACACCGAUGGCGAAGGCAGCCCCCUGGGCCAAUACUGACGCUCAGGCACGAAAGCGUGGGGAGCAAACAGG
rnacentral:rRNA from 1 species